CACCUCCAUCAUCUCCAGCAUCUCCAUCAUCUCCAUCACCUCCAUCAUCUCCAGCAUCUCCAUCAUCUCCAUCAUCUCGUCUGCCUCGCUGCCUCCAACUCACACCCUCCCACGCUCUCUCUCUCAUGCAUACAUUUGAAUGAACCCCCGAGGACCAGAUUCCCCUUUGAACUGAGCUGGCAGCUCUGCGCUCCUCUCCCUUCCUCCUCUUCUUCCUCCUCUUCCUCCUCCUCUUCCUCGUCUCUCUCCCUUUAUUCUUUUUCAAUUCAAAUUAAAAUGCUUUAUUGUCUCGACAGGAACGAAACCUGUGCAGACCGAAGCGCUACGUCAUCAUCUCAGAUGGAAACAGAGUUCCUGAUCUGUGCUAAACGUGGACAUCCGGGACAUGUCACGGAACUCUAAGCUGCCUACAGCACCAAGUCUCCUACUAAAAGACGGCCUGGGGACUUCAAGUGGACAACAUACAUUAAAAAAUAUAUAUCAUACGCAGAGCAUAAUAAAAGAUGCAGUUUCUUUGCAUGAGAAUCCA